CGGAAAUAGAGUUGCAGGGUGGUGUCUCCUGCGCUUGCCAGGUGGCAAGUUCUUCUCCGCCGCGG
rnacentral:ncRNA from 1 species